rnacentral:rRNA from 1 species
UACGGAGGGUGCGAGCGUUGUCCGGAAUCACUGGGCGUAAAGGGCGCGUAGGCGGCUUUUUAAGGGUGCGGUGAAAGCCCGGGGCUUAACCCCGGGUCGGCCGUGCCGACUGAAAAGCUGGAGCACUGUAGAGGCAGGUGGAAUUCCGGGUGUAGCGGUGGAAUGCGUAGAGAUCCGGAAGAACACCGAUGGCGAAGGCAGCCCCCUGGGCUAACACUGACGCUCAUGCACGAAAGCGUGGGGAGCAAACAGG